AUGGGAGCGAUGGCACUGGUGGUGUCAAUGUCCCAAGUGGUGAUGCUGUCCAUGGUGGUGGUGGUGACUCUAGAGGUGAUGGUGACCCUGGUGGUGACCGUGACUCUGGUGGUCCCAAAGGAGACCGUGACCAUGAUGGUGACAGUGUCCACAAUGUCCCUGGUGGUGACAUUGGCCCUGGUGGUAACCACAACCCUAGUGGUGGUGACAAUGUCCCUAGUGGUGACCAUGACCCUGGUGGUGACGGUGGCCCCAGAGGUGACCAUGACCACGAUGGUGACAGAGUCCACAGUGGUAUCAAUGUCCCUGGUGGUGACCAUAACCCUGGUGGUGAUGGUGGUCCCAAUGGUAACCAUGACCCUGGUGGUGGUGCCCGUGACCCUGGUGGUGACAAUGCCCACAGUCAAAGUCCCUGCUGGUUGUGACAAUGUCCCCAGUGGUGACGGUGGCCCCGGUGGUGGUGACAAUGCCCCGUGUGGUGACCACAACCCCGGUGGUGACCCUGUCCCUGGUGGUGAUGGUGGCACAGGUGAUGACGAUGCCCCCGGUAGUGACCACAUCCCCUGUGAUGACCACAUCCCCGGUGGUGUCAAUGGGCCCGGUGGUGCCCUCACCCCUGGUGGUGACGCUGCCCCUCGCCCCGCAGAGAAGCCGGCCACUCCACAGUGCUGGAUUGAAGGAGAUCAGGUGCUGGGCAGCAGCAUUUUGCUGCGCUGCUACAGCCGAGGAGGGGCCGCACCGCUCGGCUACCAAUGGGCCAAGCUGGCAGAUGGCUACGGAGGAGGACGGCUGCCCCAAGGAAGCAUCCAAGGUGGGCACUGGGGGCUCCCCGGAGGGACAGGGGCUGCAUGGGUGUCCAGCAGUGCCCCCAUCCAUGUGUUCCCAUGUCUGUGUGUUCCCAUGUCCGUGUGUUUUCCAUGUCUGUAUGUGCCCAGGUUUGUGUGCAUCCAUGCGUUCCCAUGUCCGUGUGCACCAUGGGUGUGGAUGGACGUGGGUGCCCAUAUUUGUGUGUUCCCACAUCCAUGUGUGCCCAGGUCUGUGUGUUCCCGUGUCUGUAUGUUCCCCUGUCCGUGUGUUCCCAUCUCCACACACAACCACAUCCAUGGAUGUCCAUGCACACGUGUGCUCGUGUGCUCUGACCACGGGUGCCCAUAUCUGUGCUCAUAUCUGUAUUCCUAUGUUCACGACCACCCGUGUCCACGUGUGCUCCUGUCUGUGUGCUCCCAAAUCCAUCAGCAAUGUGUCCUCACACACCCACAUCCGUGUGUCCCCAUGUCUGUGUGUCCCCAUGGCCGUGUGAAUGCAUGUCCGUGUGUCCCCAUGUCCCGUAUCCCAUAUCCCUGCAUCCUAUGUCUCUGUGUCCCCAUAUCCCUUUGUCCCCAUGUCCCUGCAUCCCAUGUCUCCAUGUUCCCGAGCACCCCAUGUCCCCAUAUCCCCCCACUCCAUGUCCCCCUGUCCCCAUAUCCCCAUGUCCCCAUGUCCCUGCACCCCAUGUCCCCGUGUACAACCCCAUGUAUGUCCCCACACCCCUGUCUCUGUGUCCUGAUGUCCCAUGUUCCAAAUCCCUGCACUCUAUGUCUCUGUGUCCCCAUAUCCCCAUGUCCCUAUGUACAUCCCCAUGUCCCCACACCCCUAUCCCUGUGUCCCCAUGUCCCAUAUCCCCUCACUCCAUGUCCCCCUAUCCCCAUAUCCCCAUGUGCCUGCACUCCAUGUCCCCAUGUAUGUCCCCAUAUCCCUAUCUCCCCAUAUAUGUCCCCAAGUCCCCAUGUAUGUCCCCAUAUCCCCGUAUCCCUAUGUCCCCAUAUGUGUCCCCAACUCCUCAUGUAUGUCCCCAUAUCCCCGUAUCCCUAUGUCCCCAUAUAUGUCCCCAAGUCCCCAUGUAUGUCCCCAUAUCCCCGUAUCCCUAUCUCCCCAUAUAUGUCCCCAAGUCCCCAUGUAUGUCCCCAUACCCCCAUAUCCCCAAAUCCUCACGUAUGUCCCCACGUCCCCAUGUAUGCCCCCAUAUCCCUGCGCCCCCAUGUAUGCCCCCACACCCCCAUCCCUAUGUCCCCACAUUCACCCCCCAUCUCCAUCCCCUCAGGCCGUGCUCCCGGUGAUCUCCUGAUCCGCAGCCUUUCGGAGGCUCACGCUGGUGUCUACCAAUGCCGGGUCACCAACCGCGUUGGCUACACCACGUGUCAGCUCAGCAUCAGCCCUGCACAGAGAGGUGGCCGCCAGGCGGGCGUCAUCGUGGGCUCCGUGUUGGGCUCGUUGCUGCUGCUCAGCCUCCUGGGGCUGUUCAUCGGGGCUCUGCUCUGCCGUUACCGCAGGAAGGAGUGCCAGAGGACCUGCAGCGAGUGCAGCACGGGCGGCACCAUGACCCGCACCUGCAACGUCUGUGCCCACCCCUACUCACCCCACGGCAUCAGCUACAUGCAGUGCCAACACGGCGACGGUGACGAGCGCGCGGCCGCCCUGCUCUGCAACGAAGGCAUCCGGCACCAGGUGGCCUGCCCUGCUCUGUAACCCCACAUCGGUUCCCUCUUUUUGGGCUCCCAGCCCCACUCCAUGGAAUUCUCCGUGCAAAAUCGAAGCCAAGAAUUCACCUCUUCCCCACCUCAACCUCAACACGUCGUUGGGUUCGCCAUUAGCUUUGGGGGUUGAAUUAUUAUUGUUAUUAUUAUGCUUUUUUGGCCGUUUUUUUAUUGUAUUUCCACGCUGUUCCAGCACUAUUUAUUUCUUGUCCCCCCUCCAUCCGUCCCACUGCCCGGUGCCCCCCCAGGAUUGGCCGCAGCAAUUUGGUGUUCAUUGGAAACGCCGUCGGCACCGGGAUCAGCAGUUGGGAAUGAAAGAAAAGAAAAGGAAAGAAAUCGGAAAAAGGAAAUAAACCCAAAGUGAACGAAGCGCUGCCCCA
ensembl:lncRNA